UACGUAGGGCGCAAGCGUUAUCCGGAAUUAUUGGGCGUAAAGAGCUCGUAGGCGGUUUGUCGCGUCUGCCGUGAAAAUCCGGGGCUCAACCCCGGACUUGCAGUGGGUACGGGCAGACUAGAGUGUGGUAGGGGAGACUGGAAUUCCUGGUGUAGCGGUGGAAUGCGCAGAUAUCAGGAGGAACACCGAUGGCGAAGGCAGGUCUCUGGGCCAUUACUGACGCUGAGAAGCGAAAGCAUGGGGAGCGAACAGG
rnacentral:rRNA from 1 species